AGCGUGGAGACAGGUGGUGCAUGGCUGUCGUCAGCUCGUGUCGUGAGAUGUUGGGUUAAGUCCCGCAACGAGCGCAACCCUCACCCCUUGUUGCCAUCAGGCCAUGCUGGGCACUCUAGGGGAACUGCCCCGGUCAACGGGGAGGAAGGCGGGGAUGACGUCAAGUCAUCAUGCCCCCUACGCCCUGGGCUACACACGUGCUACAAUGGCCGGUACAAAGGGAUGCAACGCCGUGAGGCAGAGCCAAACCCAAAAAGCCGGUCUAAGUUCAGAUUGGAGUCUGCAACUCGACUCCAUGAAGGAGGAAUCGCUAGUAAUCGCGUAUCAGCACGACGCGGUGAAUACGUUCCCGGGCCUUGUACACACCGCCCGUCACACCACGAAAGCCAGCUGUACUCGAAGUCGCUGAG
rnacentral:rRNA from 1 species